rnacentral:tRNA from 1 species
GCCUGGCUGGCUCAGUCGGUAGAGCACGGGACUCUUGAUCUCGGGGUCGUGGGUUCAAGCCACGCUGGGCA